GGGGAUUUAGCUUAGUGAUGUUGCCACCUGCCUUGCAAGCACAAGGUCCCAAGUUCGAUCCCUGGAACCCCCC
rnacentral:tRNA from 1 species